AUGGGUCGAGGGGGAGGCAUCGCCCCUCCAGCUAAAGGUGAGGGGUGUGGGUUCUUGGAAUCCUGUCCAGCGUUCUGUUGUGGGAACUGCAUCUUCAAAUUUUGUUGCUCAGAUGUGCUGAAGAAGAUUGAUGACAACAUUCUGUGCCCUGGGGAGAGAUCAAUAAAGUGGGAAGAAAAAGACAAGAAAAUGACGUUUGACUUUGACCACAGCCCCCCACCAGGGGGAGGAGAGGAGAGACGGUGCCGGCUGCCCAAGGGGAAGAUUAUAGGAAGUGCUUCAGCAUGUAGUAGGGACAAAGAUGGGGUAAGUUUGGGGAGCAUGGGUAUCUGUGUGCCUGUCAGCGUGUAUCCCUCUUGGCUCGCUUGCGCCUGUCUGUCCUUGUAUGUCUUCUUGUUUAUGCGUGUUUCUUUGUAUGUCUCACGCUGUGCGUUUGUGUAUAGGAAUGUAGCUGAUAGUGCCCCUCAGGGUGUUCUUUAG
rnacentral:lncRNA from 1 species